UACGAAGGGGGCUAGCGUUGCUCGGAUUUACUGGGCGUAAAGGGCGCGUAGGCGGACAUUUAAGUCGGGGGUGAAAGCCCGGGGCUCAACCUCGGAAUUGCCUUCGAUACUGGACGUCUUGAGUGUGAGAGAGGUGUGUGGAACUCCGAGUGUAGAGGUGAAAUUCGUAGAUAUUCGGAAGAACACCAGUGGCGAAGGCGACACACUGGCUCACUACUGACGCUGAGGAGCGAAAGCGUGGGGAGCGAACAGG
rnacentral:rRNA from 1 species